rnacentral:lncRNA from 1 species
ACUAGAGUUCUGUUGGAGGAAUCUGGAUGCAGGAGCCUAGCCAAACCAAAAUCAGCAACAAAUGCCUCUAGGUUUGAAUUAAGUAGAAUGUUAUUGCUGGAUAUGUCGCGGUGAACAAUUGGUGGCUUGCAGUCAUAAUGCAAGUAAGACAAAGCAUGAGCCAUACUCUUUACAAUGUCCACUCUCUUAGUCCAAUCCAGCUCAACAGCUUCAACGUCAUUGCGUAACACACAGAACAAGCUUCCCCACUCCAUGUACUCAUAGAUCAAAAACAUGCACUGGUUAUGCAAACAAAAUCCAUAAAGCUUCACUAUAUUACGAUGCCGUAUUUGGGAUAGUAGACGAGCUUCAGUUUGAAAACUUUUAAGGAAGGCUAGCUCCUCUGUCUCUGAACGGUGAAGUUUCUUCAAAGCGACUACUCUUCCACUAGACAAUUGUGCUCUGUAAACGCUGCCAUAACCUCCGGUUCCAAUGCAAUAUUUGAUGUGGAAAUCCUCUGUCGCUUGAAUCAUCUCUUCAAAUGUAAUUCUACCAUCAAAAUCCCAUAUUGAGAACUCAUCAGCGCACUUUUUCAUUUCUCGGGUAUUAGGAUUAAUUUUCUCAUCCAUUCGUCUGUGGACAAACAAGAUUCCAAAAAUUAAGGCAAGGAAUGCGACCAUGGGAAGAAUAAUUGUAACCAAGGGAGUAACGAUCUUUUGGUUUUUUCCUUUGUUGCCUUUAAAAUGUUGUGUUUGGGGUGGUGGUGCAUUUUCUGAAAUAACUGGGUUUUCUACCUCUAGAUUGUUUUCUGACCAUUUUAAUCCGGGCACUCUAAAGACAGAUUCGGGGAUAACGCCGGAGAGGUUAUUCUUGGAAACGUCCACUUCAGAAACGUUUGGAAUUUUUCCGAGUUGAGAAGGUAUGGUGCCAUUUAUGAAGUUAUGGCUUAAAUCAAGUUGUCUCAGAUGUAUAAGGUUGCCUAUCUCCGAUGGAAUGCUUCCGCUUAAACUGUUGUGGUUUACUGCCAAGUUCUGUAACUGCGAGCAAUUCAUGAGUUCUGGAGGAAUGGAGCUGUUGAGCUGAUUAUAACCAAGAUUCAAAGAGGUGAGGUUGGUUAAAUAACCAAUUGUUGGAGGAAUGGGUCCAAUUAGGUUGUUCCUAUCAAGAGACAGAGAAUCAAGAUACUUCAGAUUUCCGACUUCUCGAGGCAGCAGACCACUUAGUUGGUUUGAAGAAAGAUCUAGAGAUGUUAAGUAGGUUAAAUUUCCUAUGGUCGGUGGAAUUGGACCAUCAAGUCUGUUGUGAGACAAGCGCAACUCAUCCAACAAGUUUAAAAAACCAAUGGUCGAAGGAAUAGGUCCAGUGAGAUUGUUCCUAUUUAGAAGCAGAGAAUCAAGAUUCUUCAGAUUUCCAACUUCUUUAGGCAGUGGACCAACAAGAUUGUUGUAAGCCAAGUACAAAGUACUUAACUGAUUUAAAUGAUAAAGCGUUGAAGGAAUAGGCCCAGUUAGAUUGUUAUUAUCCAGAAACAGAGACACAAGAUUCUUCAGAUUUCCAACUUCUUGAGGCAGCCGACCACUAAGUUGGUUUAAAGAAAGGUCCAAAUGUGUCAAGUUAGUUAAAUUACCUAUGCUCGAUGGAAUUAGACCAUCCAGUUUGUUGCCCUGCAACCUCAGGUCAUAAAGAUCCUUCAAAUUCCCAAAUUCUAAUGGGAUAGAACCAUUGAGAAUGUUAUAAGACAGAUUCAGUUCGAGAAGAUCCCUCAAACUCCCGAUCUCUGAAGGGAUAGUACCUAUCAUAUAUAUAUAUAUACAUGCAAAUGAUUAAUUAAUGAUAAAUGAGCAAUAUUAUCCAGUACCGAUAGGAAAUUAUUGUAUAUGCAAUGAAAUUAUAUAUAAUAGUUACCUGUAAGACGGUUAUAGGACAGGUCAAGCACUUUGAGUCUUGAAAGAGCACCAGUUUCUGAUGGUAUCCUUCCGGAGAGAAAACGAGUGCCCCAAAUUCUGAAAGUUACGAGGUUGGGAAAGCAAGUGAAGUUGAGUUGGCUAAGCUCUGCUGCGUUGCCAUUAUUAUCCAUCUCGUCAGAACUUAUCUCAACUAUGCUUCCUGCUGAAUUGCAAGUGAUUCCCAUCCACUUGCAAUGAUCUGAAGUAUAGUUGGCCGUCGCCCGACUGCUAUUCCACCAGCCUGAAUUAAGUAAAGCUUCCCUUUCUAACUGUAAGGCUGACGAUGCAUCAGAUGCUGUUAGAACUGCAUUAUCAGUUAUAACAGGAACAAUAAUACUGCUUAUAAAAGUUAUAAUGACCACCAAUUUUGAAAUGGAGGAAUCCGGUGCCAUUUUUGUAAGUUUUUGGUUGAUUAGAUUCAGCGGGUGCAUGCCUGCUUUUAUAACUAAACAUUAAGUUUGACAGCAACACUCAGGGCCAGUUUGGGAAUGCUGUAACUUUUAAAAUAAUUACUGUUAGCUGUGCUGUAAAAAUAAUCAACUGUGAAGAAAAUCAGUUAAGUGUUUGGUAAAUUUUGUUUCAAGAAGUACUGUGAGUUUUGAAAGCAGUUAUGGACGUUUGGUAAAUUUUACUAUUAAACUGCUGAGAGAAAAUAAAUGACUAAAAUAUCCAUAAUAUAAGAUAAAAUUUACUUAUAUAUAUAAAAACAUGUACAUAUAAUAUUUUUAAUUGUGUAUUAUAAUAAUUUUUACUAAAAAUAAAAUUUAUAAUAUAUUUAUUUUAUUUUUUUAUCUUAAAGCAAUUGAUAAUUAAAUUAAUAAUAUAGUGAAAUAAAUUUAAUAAUAAUUCGACCAAUAAAUUGAUAUUAAUAAAUUUAUAUUUAUGAAUUAUAAUACAAAAUUUUUAUAAAUUAUUUUGUUUCCAAUUUGAAUAAGGAUAAUUUUGGAUUUAAAUAAUAAUUUUAAGGAUAUUUAUGGAAUUGUACUAAAUGAUAAAAUUGAUUUUCAAAAUCAGAAUCUAAAAGCUACUACUUCCCUGCUUUUCAAAAUCAGCUGUAGGAGAAGUUGAUUUUGACAAAAGUGAUUUUGAUUUUUUUUUACCAAACACUAAAACUAAUUUUUAGAUUUUCAAAAUCACUUUUAGGUCUCCUAAAAACAAUCCCAAACGGGACCUCAAUCAUUUUUAGCCCGCGUUGAGCUUUCUGCCUCAUCGUCAAAAUUGGCAUGCGCGUUAUCAAACGCAAGAGUCAGUUGAGUUAAUGUCUUUUUAGGCCACUAAUUCCUAUUUUUAAUUAAUUUCUCAAAGUAAAGGCUACAUGUGAUUCAUAUUCUAGCAACUUUCUAUUUCUUUCUUUACUUUUUAGUCCACUUUCCAUUCUCCCAAUUACUUUUCUAGAAUGGAGGAUUAUAUAUAUUCUAGUAACUUUCUUUUUCUUUCUUUUCCUUUUGGAACAUACUUUAUGCCCGAAUUUAGACCCCGACCGAAUUCCACCAAAAUUUUCGCCUUUAUAUGGGUUCAUUUGGGAUUUAUGUUCGGGGCGUAUAGGCAUAGCAUUGCUCUUUACUUUGUGUCGACUUUCCUUCAUCAUCAAAAUAUUCGAUAAUGUCGGGAAAUAUUAAAAUUUGUUCUUAAUUAACAAAGAAUUAAGCCGACUACCAUAUUUCGCCAAAAGUCAAAGGAAAAUUUUCCAUUCUCCGGUACAACAUAUUCUAUAAUUUAUAGUAAUUGUCUAUUUGGUAAUGCGAACGGUUAUUUACACUAAGCAAUAUUUUGAAUAUUUGGAGACCCAAGUCAUACUCAAUGCUAAAAAUAAAAUAAAUAUUUUUUCUUCGUACAGAAAAAAAUAUAAAUUACCAACAUGUGAUAGGAGUUCAUCGAUACUUAUAUCAUUAUCAUCAUCCAAACCUAUAUUUGCAUCGUCAAUUUGUCGAUCUAGAAAUGAGACUAGUACCUAUGUGCUUAAUAAAAAAAAUUAUUAAAAAAAUAUUACCUUUCAAGUAAUACAUUAUUUUGUUGUGUAUUAUAUACUAAAUCAAUGAUGUAUUCUAAAUAGAUGUUCACCCUCAAGUGGUAUCAGAUAUCUUCAUCUAAAAUGAUGUGUCUUAAAAUUUAAUGAGAAAAAUAUACAUAUAUUCUAAGGUUUGGGGAAAUAACAUGCAUGAACCUUACCAUAUAAUAUAACUUUAUGAUCGCAUUUUGGUGGAUAUUAUGUAAUUCAUUAACUUUGUUGUCUAUUAUAUACUAUAUUAAUGAUGAAUUCUAACUAGAUGAAAUUCACUCCCAAGUAGUGUCUGAUAUGGCCAUAUCCAUGUGUCCUAUAACUUUACUGAAACAAAUUUUGGGGAAUUUAAGAAUCUUUUUCUUUUUAUGUUUAGGAAAUUUAAUAAUUCGAAGUAGCUGCCAUUUUAGUUGUGUUUAAAAUUGAUUGUCUUAAAAAUUUGGAAAAUAUAUGGGAAAAUUUUCAAAAUGAUAAAAGGGAUAAUGUAGACUGACACGUUUAAACAUGUGAACUCAUUAGUCGCCAAUUAUUUGAAACGCACGGCCAGGGGAUGCCGUGUGAUUAAACACGUGAGUAGAAAACUUUUCAGGUGACUGGCUUUUUCUGAGCCGACCACAAAUUAAAGCAAAAUUGGAGUCAAGGUCUUGCAGACAAGGAAAAGAAGACGUGUGUGUACUGCGAGUUCACAUUUGAGGGUUGACUGACAAAUUUGUCCCUUGUCAAGCUCGUCAAAGAAGCACCUAUAAAUUUCACUUGAGAAUAUAUAUAUUUUAUAUUUAUCCAAAGUGAAGGAUUUAAUUAAACAAAAUUCAGUCUCACGAAUGUUAAUAUACCGAAAAAAGUUAUACAAAAACCACUAUCAAAAUUUUGGAUAAUCUUGAGAAAUUUUAAAAUUUGUUCUUAAUUAACAAAGAAUUACGCCCAAUACCAUAUUUCGCCAAAUCUCAAAGGAAAAUUUUCCACUUUUCCGGUACAAUAUUUUCUAUAAUUUACGGUAAUUAUUAAUUGGUAAUGCCAAUGGUUUUUUACACUAAACAAUAUUUUCAGACCCAAGUCAUACACAAUGCUAAAACCAAAGUAAAUAUUUUUUUUUCAUUUGUACAGAAAAAAUAUAAAUUACCAAGUUCAUCAAUACUUAUUUCAUUUAUCAUCAUCCGAAUCUAUAUUUGCAUCAUCAAUUGUCGAUCUACAAAAGAGAAAUCAAAGAUGUUAAAAAUAUUUCUAAUAAUAAGAUAAAAAUUAAAUAUAAAGACUAGUACCUAGGUGUUUGAAUUAAAAAUAAUAAUCAUUAAAAAAUAUUACCUUUCAAGUAGUACAUAAUUUUGUUGUGUAUUAUAUACUACGUUAAUGGUGUAUUCCAAAUAGAUGAAACUCACUCCCAAGUUGUGUCCAAUAUGGUGAUAUCCUUGUGUCUUACAAUUCCCAUAGGAUGCUAGAGCCAUAUGGAAGCAUAUAGAAGAUUGAUUGGUCGUGAUUAUUAACACUUUUGACGGUUUAUUCUAUAUACAUGAUCAGCUGAACUUGUUCUCUUUAAUUUUCAUAAAUGCAUUGACACAGUUUUUACUUUUUGAUCAUUGGAUAUCCCUGACUUUAAGUUCAUCGAAUUCUAAACUAGGGAAUGCUGUUUGACUUACAACCAUAAUAGUUAGGAAGGUUAUAACUAGAUGGUCACAAUGGUUUUCAAUCACCGAUUGCUUUCUUACGGAACAGAAAAGAAAGGAAAGAUCAUAACUUCUCCCCCACCAGCUUGUGUUAAUUGUCACUACUUAUUGUGGUUUAUUUUAUUUUUCAAAUCACAUUUGGUGACGGUUUCCAAUUCCACCAGCCGCCGAAAUCAAGGUGUAAUUCUAUUGUUUACAGAAUUUCAUUUCUGUUUACCAUUCAUCCAAGCAAUGUCAUACUUUUUACUUUUCAUAUUCUCAAAGUUCUUCAAAUCUUUUUAUUUCAAAUUGAAUGAAACAUUAAUUCUCAUUGGAUAAUCAACAUAUACUUGUCUUAGAGUCCUCAGGUGGACAACUUUUGGGGUUUUGGGUCCUCAUUUGUUGUACUGAUUGGUUCUUGAGGUAAAUAAAUCCAGGAUUCCUGAUAUUGAACAUUCAAUUUUCAUGUCUGAAACUUCCAAUAUCCAAAUUCACUCAUGCAAUACAACUACUCUAUUUUAAAUCAAUUAGAUGGUUUCAGAUACAGAUUUUGUAUUUCCAACAUAAAAAAUCAUGCAAGCAUUUGAUACCCAAAAGACCAUGAUUGGAUUUUUUCUUCUCCCCUCCUCUCCCCUGUAUUGUCAAGUCAUCCAUAAAUUUUCUGCAAUGUCAGACUGUGCAAAAGGUAAUUUUAUCAGUGUAAGUGCUUGCAUUGUUCAUUUCUUCAGACAGCCAUUUACUAUGUCCAACAAUUCAUGCUGUGUUCACUAAUUAAAGCAACUGCGAGUCAAGGUCCUUUUAAGUCGGGAAAAUGACUUGGGUGGUGUGAAUUCACACAUGAAACUUAAUUGGCAUAUUUGUCACUCGGCAAGCUCAAUGGACCCCUUUCAAAUUCACUUUAGAAUCUUUAUUUAUUCUUUAACCAAAGAUAAGGAUUUAAAUACAAAAAAUUCAGCCUCACGAAAGUUAUACAAAAAGCUAUUAAUGAAAUACAUUCAAGAUUAACAAUCACAUUGAUCAAUCAAAUACAUGCCUUAUUUCAUAAGUUCUGAUAUGGAAAUUUCUUCAACAACAGGUUUUCCCAAUGGUGAUUUCCCUGUGAGAAAUUCUUGAGAUACGCGUUGCAUGGUAGGUCGAGACUUGGGUUUUGACUGCAAGCAUGCAAAUGCAACUAUUGAAACAAGAAUAAUAUCAUGAACAACCUUUCGAUCAAGUGGAGAUGGCAGACGUUGGUCUAAAAUAUUGAUCAACCUAAUCUUUCGUUCAGAUGAUGACGAAACAGAUGAAAGAAGAUCUCCUGGAUGACUUCCCAUUAAUACUUCUAGUGCCACCAUUCCAAAGCUAUAAACAUCACAUUUCUCUGUCACAGCCAUGGUGUAUGCAAGUUCUACAACAAAAUAGAACCCAUUGUAGAAUUUCUUUGCACAAGUAAAAAACAAAAUAAAUAUAUAUUUGAUUCACUGUUUCUGGAAGCUUCUGCAGCAAGAUAUUUAAGAGAUAUCUAAUUGAUUUUUAAAUACAUUCAAUGUAUAAACAUGAGUAAGAAGCAUGAAAAGAAUAGCUAAAGUUUACCUGGAGCAAUAUAUCCAUAUGUCCCCACCACUAGAGUUCUGUUGGAGGAAUCUGGAUGCAGGAGCCUAGCCAAACCAAAAUCAGCAACAAAUGCCUCUAGGUUUGAGUUAAGUAGAAUGUUAUUGGUGGAUAUGUCGCGGUGAACAAUGGAUGGCUUGCAGUCAUAAUGCAGGUAAGACAAAGCAUGAGCCAUACUCUUUACAAUGUUCACUCUCUUUGUCCAAUCCAACUCAACUGCUUCAACAUCAUUGCGUAACACACAGAACAAGCUUCCCCUCUCCAUGUACUCAUAGAUCAAAAACAUGCACUUGUUGUGCAAACAAAAACCAUUAAGCUUCACUAUAUUACGAUGCCGUAUUUGGGAGAGUAGACGAGCUUCAGUUUGGAAACUUUCCAGGAAAGCUGGCUCCUCUGUCUCCGAACGGUGAAGUUUCUUCAAAGCGACUACUUUUCCACUGGACAAUUGUGCUCUGUAAACACUGCCAUAACCUCCGGUUCCAAUGCAAUAUUUGAUGUGGAAAUCCUCUGUCGCUUGAAUCAUCUCUUCAAAUGUAAUUCUACCAUCAUAAUUCCAUAUGGAGAACUCAUUAGCGCCCUCGGUCAUUUCUCGGGUAUUAGGAUUAAUUUUCUUAUCCUUUCGUCUAUGGACAAACAAGAUACAAAAAAUUAAGAUUGAGAAAAUAAAUGCCACCAUAGCAAGAAUGAUUGUGACCAAGCGAGUGACGAUCUUUCGUUGCUUCCCUUUGUUGCCUUUGAACGGUUUUGCUUGGGGUGGCGGUGCAUUUUCUGAACUAGUUGAGUUUUCUAACUCUAGAUUAUUUUCUGACACUAUCAAUUUGGGAAUUCUUCUGACAGAUGCAGGGACAACGCCGGAGAGGUUAUUCUUGGAAAGAUCCACGGCAGAAAUGUUUGGAAUAUUUCCGAGUUGUGAAGGUAUCGUGCCAUUUAUGAAGUUAUGGCUUAAAUCAAGUUGUCUCAGAUGUGUAAGGUUGCCUAUCUCCGACGGAAAUAUUCCGCUUAAAGUGUUGUGGCUUAAUACCAAGUUCUGUAACUGCGAGCAAUUCAUGAGUUCUGGAGGAAUGGAGCUGCUGAGCUGAUUAUAACCAAGAUUCAAAGAGGUGAGGUUGGUUAAAUAACCAAUUGUUGGAGGAAUGGGUCCAAUUAGAUUGUUCCCGUCAAGAGACCGAGAAUCAAGAUACUUCAGAUUUCCAACUUCCCGAGGCAGCAGACCACUAAGUUGGUUUGAAGAAAGAACCAGAGAUGUUAAGUUGGUUAAAUUUCCAAUGGUCGAUGGAAUUGGACCAUCAAGUCUGUUGUGAGACAAGUCCAAAAUUUCCAACAAGUUUAAAUAACCAAUGGUCGAAGAAAUAGGUCCAGUGAGAUUGUUCCUAUGUAGAAGGAGAAUCUUAAGAUUCUUCAUAUUUCCAACUUCUUUAGGCAGUGGACCAACAAGAUUGUUGUAAGCCAAGUACCACUCUAUUAACGGAUUUAAAUGAUAAAGUGUUGAAGGAAUAGGUCCAGUUAGAUUGUUACUAUCCAGAUACAAUAACUCAAGAAUCUUGAGAUUUCCAACUUCUCGAGGCAGACGACCACUAAGCUUGUUUAAAGAAAGGUUCAAACCCGUCAACUUGGUUAAAUUACCUAUGCUCGAUGGGAUUAGACCAUCUAGUUUGUUACCUUGCAGCAUCAGAUAAUCAAGAUCCUUCAAAUUUCCAAUUUCUAGUGGGAUAGAACCAUUGAGAAUGUUAAUAGAUAGAUCCAGUUGGAAGAGAUUCCUCGAACUCCCGAUCUCUGAAGGGAUAGUACCUAUCAUAUACAUAUACAUCUGCAUAUGACUAAUUAUUGAUAAAUUAUCAAUAUUAUCCAGUACCGAUAGGAAAAUAAUUUGUAUGCGGUGAAAUUCUAUAUAAUGGUUACCUGUUAGAUGGUUCUGAGACAGGUUAAGCACUUGGAGUUUUGAAAGAGCACCAAUUUCUGAUGGUAUCCUUCCCGACAAAAAACCAGUGCCCGAAAUUUUGAAAGUUAUGAGAUUGGGAAAGCAAGUGAAGUUGAAUUGGCUAAGCUCUGCUGCGUUGCCAUUAUUAUCCAUCUCGUAAGAACUUAUCUCGACUAUGCUUCCUGCUGAAUUGCAAGUGAUUCCCAUCCACUUGCAAUGAUCUGAAGUAUAGUUGGCCGUCGCCCAACUGCUAUUCCACCAGCCUGAAUUAAGUAAAGCUUCCCUUUCUAACUGUAUGGCUGACGAUGCAUCAGAUGCUGUUAGAACUGCAUUAUCAGUUAUAACAGGAACAAUAAUACUGCUUAUAAAAGUUAUAAUGACCACCAAUUUUGAAAUGGAGGAAUCCGGUGCCAUUUUUAUAAGUUUUUGGUUGAUUAGAUUCAGCCAGUGCGUGCCUGCUUUUAUAACCAAACAUUAAGUUUGACGGCAACACUCAAUCAUGUUUAGCCCGCGUUGACCUUUCUCCCCCAUCGUCAAAAUUGGCAUACGCGUUAUCAAACACAAGGGUCAGUUGAGUUAAUGUCUUUUUAGGCCACUAAUUACUAUUUCUAAUUAAUUUCGCAAAGGCUACAUGUGAUUCAUAUUAUCUACAAUAUCUAAAAUAUUGAUGGAUAUUCUUUGUACAUGUCUCUUCCUCUUUCUAUUUAAAUCCAACAAUAUGUAACCAUUAAUAGUAAUUAAUUAUAAGUCUUUUGAAACAUUCAUUUAUUUUAUUAUGCUAGCAAUUAAACUUUAGUGACUUAAAAUACAUUAAUUAAUUAACAUAGGAAGAGAGGUUCUUUUAUCUUCCCUCAAUAAUACCACUAGGGCUUAAGUUUAAUUUUAAUAAUUUUAAUGUCUCUUCUUCUUUCUAUUUAAAUCUAACAAUAUGUAACCAUUAAUAAUAAUUAAUUAUAAGUCUUUUGAAACAUUCAUUUAUUUUAUUAUGCUAGCAAUUAAACUUUAGUGACUUAAAAUACAUUAAUUAAUUAACAUAGGAAGAGAGGUUCUUUUAUCUUCCCUCAAUAAUACCACUAGGGCUUAAGUUUAAUUUUAAUAAUUUUAAUGUCUCUUCUUCUUUCUAUUUAAAUCUAACAAUAUGUAACCAUUAAUAAUAAUUAAUUAUAAGUCUUUUGAAACAUUCAUUUAUUUUAUUAUGCUAGCAAUUAAACUUUAGUGGCUUAAAAUACAUCAAUUAAUUAACAUAUGAAUAAAGGUUUUUUCAUCUUUCCCUCAACAAUGCCACUAGGGCCUAAUUUUAAUGCCAUAAUCUCAUAUUUAAUUAUGCAACCUUUUAUUUAGUGCCUUUUAGCUUCUUCAAAUUUUAUUAUGCUAGCAAUUAAACUUUAGUAGCUUAAAAUACAUUAAUUAAUUAACAUAGGAAGAGAGAUUCUUUCAUCUUCCCUCAACAAUGCCACUAGGGCCUAAUUCUUCUUAUUCUAAAUUUAAGUUUCAUUUGCUUGUUAUCAUCAGCAACACAAGUCGAUUAUGAUGCAACUGCCAUUAUAAUUAAUGGAGAAUGACGAGUUAUCUUCUCUGGUGCAAUUCACUAUAUCCUCGUAGCAUUCCUCAAGUAAUGCAUGCAAAUAAUUUAUUUACAAUUUUUCAAAUCACUUGCACUUUCACAUUUUCUUCUUCUUUUAACCCCCCCCCCAAAUGCUACUUUGCUGCGAAAAUAUUAUAUUAAUUUUUUUUUUAUUCCGAACAAGCCAAACAUGACCCCACAUUUAAAACGGUGAGCUUUCAUGUUUAGGAAAAAUUAUGGACAAUAUUUUUGGAUCAAAUAGCAUUAUUAUUCUUUAAAUAUGCAAAUUUUGGUAUGAUUUAUUUCUAUAUGCAUUGUAUUUGUGCAGAUGUGGCCAGAUCUUCUACAAAAGGCAAAAGAUGGAGGGCUCAAUGCAAUUGAAACUUAUAUUUUUUGGAAUGCUCAUGAGCCUCAGCGUCGCCAGGUGUCAAUUAUUAUUAUUAUUAUUAUUAUUAUUAUUAUUAUUAUUAUUAUUAUUAUUAUUAGUAUGUGCGAUAUUUAUUAUUAUUGAAAUAAACAUACAAAAUUAACUUGUUUAAUCUUCCUUUUGAGAAGAGAUCAAUAUGAUUUCUCAGGAAAUUUGGAUUUCAUCAAAUUUUUAAUUUUUAAUUUGAUAUUUUCAAAGCAACGCGAGGCGCGGUUCUAUUUCCUAAUUUUAUAAUUUAUAUUGAUUGUCUAUUUGGUAAUACUAACGGUUUUUUACACUAAGCAAUAUUUUCAUGCCCAAGUCAUACUCAAUGCUAAAAAUAAAGUAAAUAAUUUUUUAUGCGCACAGAAAAAAAUAUAAAUUACCAGCGUGAGAUAGGAGUUCAUCAAUACUUAUAUCAUUAUCAUCAUCCAAACCUAUAUUUGCAUCAUCAAUUUAUCGAUCUAGAAAUGAGACUAGUACCUAUGUGUUUGAUUAAAAAAAAUCAUUAAAAAAUAUUACCUUUCAAGCAAUACAUAAUUUUGUUGUGUAUUAUAUACUAAAUUAAUGAUAUAUUCUAAAUAGAUGAAGUUCACUCCCAAGUGGUAUCAGAUAUCUACAUCUAAAAUGAUGUGUCUUAUAAUUUAAUGACAAAAAUAUACAUACACUCCAAGGUUUGGGGAAAUAACACGCGUGAACCUUACCAUACAAUAUAACCUUAUGACUGCAUUUUGUUAGAUAUUUUGUAAUUCAUUAAUUUUUGUUGUCUAUUAUAUACUAUAUUAAUGAUGAAUUCUAAAUAGAUGAAACUCAAUCCCUAGUAGUGUAUGAUAUGAUGAUAUCCAUGUGUCUUAUAACUUUACUGAAAUAAAUUUUGGGGAGUUUAAGUAUCUUUUUCUUUUAUAUUUAUGAGAAUUAAUAAUUCAAACUAGCUGUCAUUUUAGUUGUGUUUAAAAUUAAUUGUCUUAAGAAUUCGGAAAAUAUAUGGAAAAUUUUUCAAAAUGAUAAAAGGGAUAAUGUAGACCGACACGUUUAAACACGUGAACUCAUUAGUUGCCAAUUAUUUGAGACGCACAGCCAGGGGAUGCCGUGUGAUUAAACACGUGAAUAGAAAGCUUUUCCGGUCACUGGCUUUUCUGAGCCGACCAUAAAUUAAAGUAAAAUUGGAGUCAAGGUCUUGUAGACGAGGAAAAGAAGACGUGUGUACUGCGAGUUCACAUUUGAGGCUUGAUUGACAUAUUUGUCCCUCGUCAAGCUCGUCAAAGAAGCACCAAUAAAUUUCACUUUAGAAUAUAUAUAUUUUAUAUUUAUCCAAAGUAAAGGAUUUAAUUAAACAAAAUUCAGUCCCACGAAAGUUAAUAUACCGAAAAAAGUUAUACAAAAACCACUAUCAAAAUAUUGGAUAAUCUUGAGAAAUUUUAAAAUUUGUUCUUAAUUAACAAAGAAUUACGCCCAAUACCAUAUUUCGUCAAAUCUCAAAGGAAAUUUUCCCACUUUUCCAGUACAACAUUUUCUAUAAUUUACGGUAAUUAUGUAUUGGUAAUGCUAAUGGUUUUUUACACUAAACAAUAUUUUCAGACCCAAGUCAUACACAAUGCUAAAACCAAAGUAAAUAUUUUUUUUCAUUCGUACAGAAAAAAUAUAAAUUAUCAAGUUACUUAUAGCAUUUAUCAUCAUCCGAAGCUACAUUUGCAUCAUCAAUUGUCGAAUGUCGAUCCACAAAAGAGAAAUCAAAGAUGUUAAAAAUAUUUCUAACAAUAAAAUAAAUAAUUAAAUGUAAAGACUGGUACCUAGGUGUUUGAAUUUAAAAAAAAAAAAUCAUUAAAAAAUUAUCUUUCAAGUAAUAUAUAAUUUUAUUGUGUAUUAUAUACUACGUUAAUGAUGUAUUCUAAAUAGAUGAAGUUCACUCCCAAAUGGUGUUUGAUAUCUUUAUCUGAACGUGUCUUAUAUGUUUCAAAAGAAAAUUUUACCAAUACUCUUAAGGGUUGGGAGAAAUGAUAUGCAAGAACGUUACCUUGCAAUAUAACCUCGUGAUUGCAUUUUGCCGGAUACUAUAUAGUAAAUUAAUUUUGUUGUCUAUUACAAAAUAGAUGAAGCUUACUCUCGAGUAGAUGAAGCUUACUCUCAAGUAGUGUCCAAUACGGAGAUGUCCAUGUGUCUUACAAUUUUACUGAAACAAAUUUUGGGGAGUUCAAGUUUCUUUUUCCUUUAUAUUUAUAUAUAUGAGAAUUAAUAAUUCUAACCAUCUGUCAUUUUAGUGGUGUUUAAAAUUGAUGUAUCAACUAUCAAAAAAGAAAAAAGAAAAAAAUUGAUGUAUCAAAAAUAUGGAAAAUAGAUGGAAGAAUUUUCAAAUGAUACCCCGUCAAAGGGAUAAUGUAGAUUGACACGUUUAAACAUAUGAUCUCGUCAAUCGCCAAUUACUUGAAACCCACGGCCACGUUUAUUAGACAAUUUAAAAAAAAAAAAAGAUUUGUGUACUGCAGAUACUUGUGAAACUCAAAGGACUACCAAUUAAUUCACGUUAGAAAAGUGUUUUUUUGUUUAAUUAAAAGACAACGAUUUAAUCAGACAAAAUUCAGUCUGACGAAAUUUAUACAAACUACCAUGAGCAAAAUACAUUCAAGAUUAACAAUCACAUUAAUCUAGCAUCCUUUUUUUUUUUCUACGCCUUUCUCUUUUUCUUUUUUAACUUUUUAGGCCGCUUUUCUUUCUCCAAAUUACUUUUCUUGAUUUUCCACAGAACACAUCAAAACAUUGGACCACCUUGAGAGGUCAGAAAUAUUAAAUUUUUGGAGUCCACAAAAAAAAUAAAAUAUUUUUGUCAUAAUUUGUAGAUUUUGUUCUUUUAUCAUUUUCACAAAUUUAUUGAGAAGGCCAAAUAUUACCAUAUUUAAUCAAAAGUCAUAUAGAAUUUUUUUUUUAUAUUUUAUUAUGCAAAAAAGACGAUUGUUCUUAAAAGUUUAACCAAACAAAUUUUUAAUUAUUUUAUUUAACUGAUUAUCCAAGUUCGAAUUCUAGAUGACUCCGACCUUAAAAAUAACGUGUGCCAAUUAUCUAAGUUGAAUUAUUUUAUUUAACUGAUUAUCGGUGUACGUUUAAUAUUGUCGCUCUAAUUUGAUCCUAACGCGCGCUAAUGCAAAACGAUAUGCAAUGGAACUUUGUGAACUUACGGUAACAAUUUGUUUAAACUUAUGCAGACUACUUAACUAACCAGUCAAAUAGAGUGUCAAAUAACAUUUUAAUAUUUGGUUAAGAGACCACAAGAGUUCAUAAAUAUUUUUUUUUACCAAUUAAGAAGAUUAAAAUGAACGGCAUAUUUUGUACAGAAUUAAUAUGCGUAUUCAAAUUUAACAAUAUAGUGGGCUUUUUCAAAUUUCAAAUGUGUAGAUGGGGCUAAAUGCCUAAAUCACAACUUUCCUCAUCAUAACUCUGAAAAUUCAAAUUUGAAAAUAUUUUCUGACUCUCUUCUUCAUCAUUUAGUUUAUACUUCAACUGACCAUUAGAGGCAAUUCAGUUUCUGUACGAUCAUGCAAAAGGGUUAGAAAGUAAUUACAAUCAAUAUUUGUGUACUUCAGAAUUUGAACCUUAAUGAGCAAUUAACCAAGAGUUGUUAAUUUCUCUUCCUUUCCAAAAUUCUGUUAGAAUUGUCAAUUGUUACGGCAUAUGGGUGUAAAGAUUUUUUGAUAAUAAAAGUUAAAAUUAUUGGGUGGGUUUUUAUAAGAAUUUUGGAGGGGUGUAAGAAGGUCCACUCUACUCAUAAAUGAAGCCAUGGCUUGGAGAAAUGGAAAACGGAGCCCAUUAACCUUAAAGGCCUUAAACAAACCCAACAUGCUUUAAACUGAUAAUUAAGAUGUGAGACAAGCUCGCUCUAUCACUGAAGCAUGUUCGGUUUAUUAUACGUUGUAAACCCAUCAAUUUUUGAAGUUGUUUACUAUUGCAUUUAAUCUAAAACCUGUAUUUGGUUUAUUAUACGUUGUUUUCAAAGUCGUUGACAAUCGACGGGGCGAUACCGAAAUAGAUAGUCCUAGCCUCCUAGGCGCGCGCGCGCAAAAGAAAAAAAAAGGAUAAUGUAUUACAAGAUCACUGAUGCAUGGAAGAUCCUAGUUUUGUAGUGAGAGUAAAAGAAUUGAGCUUGAAACUAUUUUUUUGCUCAUUUUUUUAAUGAAACGCUUCAAAGAAAACAUAGAUGGCGGGAAGCAAAAUGGUUGAAGUUAGCAAGCUGUGCAGUGAGAACUGGAGGCACAUCACGAUUCACGCAUGAAUAGAAUUUGUGUGUAUGUGUGUGUGUGUGUGUGUUAGUGUUAAUAAGCCGAGGAUUGAUUCAGGCUGGCAAAAAUAUUAUUCAUAGUCAUUGUCAUUGUAGUGUAGUAUACCUUUAUUCUUAACUAGAUGUUAGUCCUUAUCUCCCCCAAGAUUCGACCACAAGUGGCUAGUUAUAGAAAGCUUCUUUUUUUUUUAAUUUAAAACCACCAGAGUGGUGGGGGGUUAGCCGGGACCCCUACCUGUAAUAUAAAUCUGAAAAUGAAUCAGAUACAAAGGAGGGAGACAUGAGAUACAAGAAAAGGAUAAAAUCCUAACGUCUGACAUAGGGGAUUGCAUGGGCAUCCAAGUAAAGAAUACCAGAUAAGCCUUUGAGAAGCUCCCGAGGAGAUUAAAAACGUCGGCUAGUCCGAUGAGUGCACGCCCAGUUGGCUAGAAAAUCAGCAGCAAAAGUAGCCUCGCAAAGAACAUCUCUCACCUAAAUGGGGAAUGACGUUACCAAACGACACACCCAGCGCAGAGAAUAACAAUACUCCCAUCGUAAAGGACCCUGGGUGUGAAUUCAUGACACCACUGUAGUCGAGUCUGACUCAACCUCAAGCACUGAAUACCCAAGCUGAAUGGCAAGCUCCAAACCGUUGCACACCGCCAUGAGCUCAACAUAUAAGAUUGGCUUGUAGCCCAAAAAGGAUCCAAAAGCCGCUAAAACCACACCCCGGUGAUCCCGAAGAGUACCCCCGGAAGCAGCCAUCUUAGGGUUGCCCCUAGAGCAACCAUCCACAAUCAGCUUAGCCACCCUUGGGGGCGGCCUCGUCCAAGUAACUAGACGAAUCGCCUCCUAGGGGGAGUCAUAACUCGCAAGCCCUCCGCAAUACGAGAACCCAAAACUCCCCUCAGUUGAAGAGGCUUGAAUCCAAAAGCAGAACUAGCGAGCCUGAGAUCAGAGUCGACCUGAUAGAUAAUCGCAUCAGUGGAGAAAGACUAUGAAUUAAACCGGAAAGCAUUUCGGGCCUUCCAAAUUUGCCACAAAAAGCAUGGCAAAAGGACCCGAAGAUGAUUCCGAGAGGGUGCACAAUAGGGAUGGCAAAAAUCCCCACGGGGACGGGUACCCUCGGGGAUUUUCCCCAUUCGGGGAGGGUACGGGGAUAAUUUUAUACCCAAUUUUUUAUUCGGGGAGGGGACGGGGAAAAUUUUUUACCCAAUUUUUUAUUCGGGGAGGGGACGGGGAAAAUUUUUUACCCAAUUUUUUAUUCGGGGAGGGGACGGGGAAAAUUUUUUACCCAAUUUUUUAUUCGGGGAGGGGACGGGGAAAAUUUUUUACCCAAUUUUUUAUUCGGGGAGGGGACGGGGAAAAUUUUUUACCCAAUUUUUUAUUCGGGGAGGGGACGGGGAAAAUUUUUUACCCAAUUUUUUAUUCGGGGAGGGGACGGGGAAAAUUUUUUACCCAAUUUUUUAUUCGGGGAGGGGACGGGGAAAAUUUUUUACCCAAUUUUUUAUUCGGGGAGGGGACGGGGAAAAUUUUUUACCCAAUUUUUUAUUCGGGGAGGGGACGGGGAAAAUUUUUUACCCAAUUUUUUAUUCGGGGAGGGGACGGGGAAAAUUUUUUACCCAAUUUUUUAUUCGGGGAGGGGACGGGGAUGAGGUGGAAUCCCCAUCCCCUACCCAUUUCCCCAUUUUAAUUUUUAAUUUUAUUUUUAUUUUUAAAAUUACUAAUAAAUAAAUAACAAAAUUAUAAAUAUUGUUAAAAAUAAUAAAUAUUAAAAUAGUUAUAUUAUUAAACUUUUAAACUUAAUUAACUAAUUAAAGUCUUAAAUUUUUAAUCCAAACCACAAUGAUACAGGAGAGAGCUGCCUAAUUAUAAUUUACAACAGUUCUAAUCCUAAUUCGUAUCCUACAUUAGCUCGAAUUGCUAGAGAUAUUUUGGCAAUUCCAAUUACAACAGUUGCUUCUGAAUCAGCUUUUAGCACCGGUGGUAGAGUUGUGAGCUCACACCGUAACAAACUUCAUCCAAGCACAUUGGAGGCCUUAAUAUGCUGUCAAAGUUGGUUACGAGCUUACAAUAGCAGUAUGAGUUUAUUUUACAUUGUAAUUAUAUUAUACAGUUAUUAAUAUUUGCGCUUAUAAGUUACGUUACUUAUAUCAUUUUCAUUGUUUUAGGUUUGAAAUCUGAGGUUAGCUCUCAAUUUGCCACAUUUCUCGAGGAAGAACUGGAGGAGCAGGAGGUAAAUAGUUUUAUUAAAAAUAUUAAUUAAGUAUCUACAUUUAUUUUAUUGUCGAUAUAAAAAUAAUUUUUUUUCUUUUUAUUGUAGGAUUAUGAAGAUUGAGUCAUUGACAAAGAUAAUUAUUUUAAUAAUUUAUAUUUUUGAAUGUGACUUUGAAAUGGAUCAAUAUUAAUGCAAGAUAUAUUUUGAACUUUAUUUUUAUCUGAAUUUUUUAUUUUAAUAUGAUUAAUUUAAAAUCGAAAAAAAAAAUGUAUUAGACUAUUAAUUAUUCGGGGACCGGAGACCCUCGGGGAUCUCCUGUUAGUAUUCGGGGAGGGGAUGGGGAUUCACUUAAGUAAUUCUGACGGGGACGGGGAGGGGACGGGGACAUAACAAAAUAUCGGGGAUGGGUAUGGGGAGAUUGGUCCCCUCCCCUCCCCUCCCCAUUGCCAUCCCUAGUGCACAAUGUCUCCAAAAUAAAAGUAAAGCACGGGGAGAUAGAAAACCAAGCUCUCACAUCCCCAGGAUUCGCUGGUAGUGAACCUAAAUAUGAUUGGCCCGUGGACAAUUCACAAACAGGUGCCGAGAAGUCUCAACAACCCACCCACAAACGCACUAAGAAACUAUAAAGAAACCCCUCGAGCAUAAGGCAUCAUUAGUAGAUAAGAAUCUGUGUAGUAGUUACUAGAGAAAAAAAGAAACUCGUGAUGGGAUAUGCCUCUGCCAAAUCAUCGAGAAAAGUUCAUCCAUCGGCCUAGAGCACCGUACAAGCUCUCAAGCAGUCCGCAAGUGAAACAUGCCGUCAGGGGUAAGGUCCUAACGAAUCAGGUCAGGAUUCCCACUCGAAAUAAACACUAAUAGGAUCUGCUCAAUAAUAGAUGAAGGCAAAAUGUCCUCCAAUUUGCCUCUGUCCCCGACUGUACCCUGCCAAAAGAACGAGACCGGCACUGACGAAGCCGCUGUAGGGUUAUAAAAAAAUAGAGGGCAAGAACUCAGCCAACAAUCAUACCAGAAGCUAUAAUCUCCACUCCUAAUGAGCCAAUGCCCAUGAGGUCUAGUCGUGCAACGAAUCUUACAAAGGCGUCUCUAUAGAGGAGAGGCAGGAUAGAGAAACUGGAUCAGGCUCGGAUGCGUAGAUCUGCAAUACUUGGACUUCAUAUAGGAAGCGCAUAACGAACUCUGCUAACAAAACUGUCACCAAAGUUUAAUCUCAAAAGCCUCCUCCAUAUCAUCAAAAGAUCGUAUGCCAAGGCUACCCUCGUCAACUGGAUAACAAACCUUCGGCCAUCUACACCAGUAGAUCUGGCGCCUUCCCUCAGAAUCACCCCAUAGGAAUUAGGUGAACAAUCGCUCUAGGCACUGAACUACCAUUACAAGAGGACGAAGGACGUGAAAUAAGUGCAGGGGCAUAGAGGAUAACACAUGGCGAAUGAGGACCAGCUUCCCACCAAAAGAAAGCAGACGGUUAUCCCAACCGAAAAUCUUAUCCCUGACCUUACGGGCUGUGUCAUCAAAAUAUGAGAUCUUUAGGUGCCCGAGAUAAGUAAACAGAAGCCGACGCUGCUGAAAACUAGUAACAGAGUGAACAAGGGCCUGGCGAGAGGCCGAAGCCGACUUCCUAAUGUAGGAGUUACUCUUGUCCUGGUUAAUCAACUGCCCCGAGAUCACCUCAUAAUGGUGCAAGAAAUCCAUAAGCUGUUAUAAGCUAGGUUGGCUCCCAUUUGCAAAAAUAAUAAUAUAAUCUGCAAAGCUCAAAUGGGAAUUAGAAGUAGGUGCGGUUGAACAAUACCGAACUGAGGGAUAUGGAGAAUACAAAUGAUCCAAUUCUCGAGAGAAAAAUUCUGCAGCAAUAAUAAACAAGCACGAGGAAAGAGGAUCACCUUGCCGAAGACCCCUCUGGGACUGGAAGUAUCCUUGACUGACCCUAUUCAAAAGUACUGAAAACCAAGGGCCGUAAAUCACUCGCCGAAUCAAAGAAAUCCAAUGCUCCGAGAACCUAAAACAGCGAAUCAUCUUAAGAAUAAAAGGCCAUGACAUAUGAUCGUACACCUUGGCCAUAUCUAAUUUCAGCACCACAGUGUUCCCUCGAGUACGGCGAUUAAGAUCCUGAACGAGCUCCUAAACCAGGAGCACGUUAUCAUGAAUCACUCAACCAGGAACAAAGCCAUUCUGAGUAGGAGAAAUAAUGCGAGGUAGGAGAGGGGACAAUCUCUAGACAAGCAACCUGGUAAGGACCUUGUUGUUCACGUUACAAAGACUAAUCGGACGGAAAUCAGCCCAAGAAUCCGGAGAAGCCUUCUUAGGCAAAAGGACCAAUAAAGUACUUUGGAAACCCCUGGACAUAGCCGAACCUCUGAAAUAAUCGAGGACAACAUCUAACAAGUCACGGCAAAUGAUGUCCCAACACGCCUGAUAGAAUCUGCUAAUUAUAUAAGUUAUUUAAAAAUCAUUCGGACAAACUUCUAGUGACAAUUGAACAUAAAUUUAACUUUAAUAUCUUAUUAAAAAAGUUCGAUACCACUUUAAUAGAAUGGAGAACGUUUAUUUUCCCCUAGGGAAAAUGCACAACAAGUUCUUUUACAUAGACUCCGUAACCAAAUUAGACAAGUAAAUAAUCAAUGACGGAAUUAAGAGCUUGGUUUAACAAGGUCAGCAUGAAGAAACUACAAAUUUGAGGUUAAAAAUUUAGAAAUGGAGGCCAAAACAUAAGAUUUUCAAAGAAUGACUAGAUUUCAAUUAGAUCCCAGGGAACAUUAACCCAAUUUACUGCUUGUCGUAGAACUCUUUGUUUACAUGAAUUAAUGUUUAAUAGCCUUUAGUAUCUCAAGCUUGACCCUUGCAGCUAUCUAUUAGUUCAUUUAAUUAAUAACUUGUACGUAUUAACACCUACUGAAGUAGAAAAUGCCCGCGACUAGUGCAUUAGUUUCUUUAAAAUCCGGAGACAAAGAGUUGUUCUGAUUAUUUUAUAAUUUUUUUUUUCACAUGAGACACCAUUCAAGACAAUGUCCAUGUGGUGUGAAGGCCAAAAUGCCCGUGAACCAGUCAAUUUUUGUCUUUUUCAGCAUUUUAAUAUAAUCACUUUGUAUUUAAAUUACUAUUUGAUCGAUUAAAAUUUCAAUAAUUUUACAGCUAACCACGUAUUUUUUAACCAUAAUUCCCAGCUUCCCUUAUAUAUAUAUAAGUCGGCAUCAGCUGAUCAGCAUGAAUUAAGAGUUCAUAACCAAACUGAAAUAGAUAUCCAAAGUUUAGCGUUACUGAGAAAUAUGAGUUCUAGGAUUUAUUUUAUGCUCAUCGCGAUAUUUACUGUCGCUGGAGUUUUGCAAUUUUCCGGCCAAGUUUUUGGCACACAACAUUGUGGAAUGAAUACAAAUGUUCUUGGCCAGCUUGUAUCACAAUGUGAGAAAUAUGUGUUGAAAUCGGGGCCGAAGAUUCGGCCAUCUCCUGGUUGUUGUGCGGUUGUGAAGAAGUUGAUGUGCCAUGUGUGUGCACGUUUGUUACAAAGCAGAUUGAAGAAAUUGUAAGUAUUGAGAAGAUGGUUUAUGUGGCCAGGUCAUGUGGCAUAAAGAUUUCUGCCGGGACAAAAUGUGGAAGUAAGUAAAUAACAUUCCUCGUGCAAUUACCAAUAAAUUCUAUUAAGAAUGAUAAUGCACUUCUCAAAUAGUAUCUCGACUUUAUUUCUCAUAAGUGAUGCGACAUUUAUCUGUAAAAUAAUAAUAUGAACUAAUAAGUAAUUUUAUAGGUUCAUGAAACUGGCAUUCAAUUGAUGAUCAUAUAUCAUCUCAGUAUGUUCAUAUUCUCAAAGUUCUUCACAUCUUUUUAUUUCAAAUUGAAAGAUAAUAAACGCACUCUAGUUAUCUUUCAAUUAAUGAAUGAAACAUUAAUUCUUGUUGAUGCGAGAUUUUGGUUACGCUCUUCCUACUACCAGGAUAUCUGCUCGAUCAACCUCACCUCAACCAGGAUCUCUCCUAGUAUGCUUUCGUCUCCAAGUAUUCCUGCGUCCACAGAAACAAGUCAGAGCACGCCGGUUAUUUUUCCGGCGUAAACCCUCCGACGCUCAAGUCAGAUGUGAAGGUUCGGGGUACGCUUGGCACAGAUCUUAUGGCUUUUGGGUAGUUUUCUCUUCUUUAGAAUUUCUUUAAUCUCUGUCAUAAUUUCAAAAUUGCUAACCUUUUUACCUUCGUUGGCAACUUUUUUAUAGGCUUCCUCUGAAUCCCAGUUUUCCGCGGUCUACGCCCGUUAUCCUCCCACCUCUCGAACGUGGACUCCCCAUUUCCGUAGUCGUGGGUGGUUGCGUGGCCUUCGUGCCUAGAUUCUCGGGCUGGAGAGCAUGCCUCGCCAACUGUCGUUGACCGGGUCUCCUCGAAUCAACCCUUAGCAAGAAUACAGUAGGAAUGGCUUUAUGCUUCUUACAGGAAAUUGGCCUCGCGGAUGACGUGCUCGUGGAUGAGCAGGAUAUUCCUGCCCCUGUUCCCCUGCUACCUGGCUCUUACAGGACACACCUGCUCGCAGACUUCUGCCACCAAACAUCUGCUCAUCACGUCUGGUCUCGUCAGAGUAUUUCCCUCAAACACCGGUCCCCCAGUUUCUGGUGUUGGGUAAUGUAAUGGACCAGCAGUAGAAACUUAGCGGUUCUUGGUUGCAUGGGACUGGAAAAGGCUGCCAAGAGUCGUGUCGCAUUUAAUUGCGGAUGAGGUGAUGUGGCAGAGAUUCACCCCUCCAUUUUGAAUUUAAAACCGACGGUUACGAGACCCUCGGGAUUCGGUGCUGUUAAAUGCUGGCUAUCCAAGGGUUUUUCUUCCAAUAAGGUAACCCAAAACCUCUCGAAGGGAAAUUAGCCAUUUCCACCGUCUCUGUCCCUGUCUCUCCGGCGAAGAAGUUUCGGCAUAAAAGCCCCCAUCCUUGCCUUUCUCCGACUGAAACAGUACUUCAGGUAUUACUUCUUUCUCCUCGGUCUCGGAUAGUUUGUAGAUAACUUCUUUUUUCUUUGUUUUGCUUGGGGUAGUAGUUGGUGGUGGUGUUUUGGUUAUUACCUAUGGAAUGUCGAAGGGUAAGGAGAAAGUCGUUGAGAUUGAUGACGACGAACUAGGUUUCUUGCCUGGUCUGCUCACUGAUCCUGCUUUUGACCUCGAGAUCCCCUUAGAACCUAUUAGGUUUAGUGUCGGGACUAGUGCUAGGAGGAUGUCCCCCCAAACAACCUCCACGAGCGAAAGCAAUGGUGAGGAGGGACCUUCUGGCUCUGAGGACACCUUAAAUGAGAAUGGGGAAGGUGACUCUGGUGAGGUGUCUCCAUCUGGAACAUCACGACCAGAAGAACGGGGUACAGUAGGAGGCAGAGCCUUGUCGCGUGAUUAUGCCAUUGAUUACAUGACGUGCACGACCUCGUUUGACGAGCUCAAUGACCUCCGGCUUAGGUAUAGCAUUCCUGGUGAGAUACCUCUCAAGGUCCCAGGAAAGAAGGAUGCUCCCAGCCGGCCUCCUAGGGGAUACGUUACCCUGUUUCUAGAGAGCUUUAAGUACGGGCUGAGGUGUCCCUUGCAACCCUACUUUGCCCGGAUACUUAACGGGCUAAAUCUAGCUCCUGGUCAGCUGAAUCCCAAUUGGUGGAGAGUGCUCUCUGGUCUGUUCAUAUUGUGGGACAGAUGUUGCCAAAGCGAGCCCACGGUUGAUGAGGUGAAGCACCUGUACCAGCUAAAGAGCAGCCCCAAAGAUGCCGGCUGGUACUACUUCCAAUCUAGCACCAAGAGCCGGAAACCCAUAACUGAUCUUCCAACUGGUGGUGGUGGGACUUGGAAGAGGAAAUUCUUUUUUGCUGGGGGUCCUUGGGGUCAAGUUGCACAAAUAGACGGGAAGGAUUGUCGCAUCCCACCCCGUUUCACGGUCCCAGGUUGCCUGCUCGCUUUAGAUGUCUUGUAUCCAUAAUUGUUCUUGCUUUAUUGGCUUGUCUCUAACUAAGUGUCUGUUUGUGUUGUAGUUUCUUGGGGUGUUCACUUCCCGCUCUAACCUGACCAGCUCAAACGGGUCAAGGCUGUACUAGCCAAUUUCUGCUCGAGCCGAGAACUGCUAACUACUUACAACUUGCUCGAGUCUCGCUUGGUACUUCCUGGCCAUAAGAUGGAGGACGCCGUGAUUGGGGCUCUGAACAGGAAACGUUCUUGACCUCAAACCACGAAGAGGGACCAGAACAAUGAUGCCCCUACUGCAAAGCGGGCCAACAUCGUGCAGCAGGUCUCUCCCUUGAAGACUUUACCUCCUCCUUCUGCCAAACUCGGCGAGACCAGUGGAGCAGCCACUGAUCCUGCUUCCUCUUCGCCUCCUGUCGGGCAUAGAUCUCGUUUACCUGAAACUGAUCCUGCUUCCUCUUCGCCUCCUAUCGGGCAUAGAUCUCGUUUACCUGAUAGCCGAGCAGAACACUUGGACCCCUAUCUCAACGAGCUUUCCAAACUCGUGAGCAAGAAGGACCUCGAGGACUUUGAUGGCUGCACCUUGGGCGAGCUGGUGGGGGCCAUGCAGUAUAGCGCUUUCCAUCUCAGCUGCAUGACCACCUACUAUAAGGCCAAGGUUGGCCGUUAUGACAGGAAGAUGAAGGAGGACAUUCAGUCGGCGACGACCAGAGCUGACGUUGCUGAGAAGAAAGCAGGGGACUUAAACCUCGAGAAUCUGAAGUUGAUUGAGCGAGAAUCUCUUGCUCAAGCCAAGGCUAUUACUCUCGAGGAAGAGCUGGCCAAGGUCAAGGAAGAUCUACAAAAGCAGAAAGCUAUGUACGAGGCUCAGCUCGAAUCUCUCCGUGAUUCCCACCGGGUUCAGGUCGAGAACUUAGAGAAGGAGGCUGACAACCAGUACGACCAGGGACUUCGGCAUUCAUGCCUUAGGAAUUUUUAUAACACUUGAGGGUCUGCUCGCCUUCGCUUGGUCGAGCAGAUCCUGGCACGCUUGGCUUCUGGUCUCGCCAUAAACAGGCUUUGAGACUUGGUGAGCCUUUGCAUGCCUUAGGAAUUUUUAUAACACUUGAGGGUCUGCUCGCCUUCGCUUGGUCGAGCGGAUCCUGGCACGCUUGGCUUCUGGUCUCGCCAUAAAACAGGUUUUGAGACUUGUGAGCCUUUGCAUGCCUUAGGAAUUUUUAUAACACUUGAGGGUCUGCUCGCCUUCGCUUGGUCGAGCAGAUCCUGGCACGCUUGGCUUCUGGUCUCGCCAUAAAACAGGUUUUGAGACUUGUGAGCCUUUGCAUGCCUUAGGAAUUUUUAUAACACUUGAGGGUCUGCUCGCCUUCGCUUGGUCGAGCAGAUCCUGGCACGCUUGGCUUCUGGUCUCGCCAUAAAACAGGUUUUGAGACUUGUGAGCCUUUGCAUGCCUUAGGAAUUUUUAUAACACUUGAGGGUCUGCUCGCCUUCGCUUGGUCGAGCAGAUCCUGGCACGCUUGGCUUCUGGUCUCGCCAUAAAACAGGUUUUGAGACUUGUGAGCCUUUGCAUGCCUUAGGAAUUUUUAUAACACUUGAGGGUCUGCUCGCCUUCGCUUGGUCGAGCAGAUCCUGGCACGCUUGGCUUCUGGUCUCGCCAUAAACAGGCUUUGAGACUUGGUGAGCCUUUGCAUGCCUUAGGAAUUUUUAUAACACUUGAGGGUCUGCUCGCCUUCGCUUGGUCGAGCGGAUCCUGGCACGCUUGGCUUCUGGUCUCGCCAUAAAACAGGUUUUGAGACUUGUGAGCCUUUGCAUGCCUUAGGAAUUUUUAUAACACUUGAGGGUCUGCUCGCCUUCGCUUGGUCGAGCAGAUCCUGGCACGCUUGGCUUCUGGUCUCGCCAUAAAACAGGUUUUGAGACUUGUGAGCCUUUGCAUGCCUUAGGAAUUUUUAUAACACUUGAGGGUCUGCUCGCCUUCGCUUGGUCGAGCAGAUCCUGGCACGCUUGGCUUCUGGUCUCGCCAUAAAACAGGUUUUGAGACUUGUGAGCCUUUGCAUGCCUUAGGAAUUUUUAUAACACUUGAGGGUCUGCUCGCCUUCGCUUGGUCGAGCAGAUCCUGGCACGCUUGGCUUCUGGUCUCGCCAUAAAACAGGUUUUGAGACUUGUGAGCCUUUGCAUGCCUUAGGAAUUUUUAUAACACUUGAGGGUCUGCUCGCCUUCGCUUGGUCGAGCGGAUCCUGGCACGCUUGGCUUCUGUCUCGCCAUAAAACAGGCUUUGAGACUUGGUGAGCCUUUGCAUGCCUUAGGAAUUUUUAUAACACUUGAGGGUCUGCUCGCCUUCGCUUGGUCGAGCAGAUCCUGGCACGCUUGGCUUCUGGUCUCGCCAUAAAACAGGUUUUGAGACUUGUGAGCCUUUGCAUGCCUUAGGAAUUUUUAUAACACUUGAGGGUCUGCUCGCCUUCGCUUGGUCGAGCAGAUCCUGGCACGCUUGGCUUCUGGUCUCGCCAUAAAACAGGUUUUGAGACUUGUGAGCCUUUGCAUGCCUUAGGAAUUUUUAUAACACUUGAGGGUCUGCUCGCCUUCGCUUGGUCGAGCAGAUCCUGGCACGCUUGGCUUCUGGUCUCGCCAUAAAACAGGUUUUGAGACUUGUGAGCCUUUGCAUGCCUUAGGAAUUUUUAUAACACUUGAGGGUCUGCUCGCCUUCGCUUGGUCGAGCAGAUCCUGGCACGCUUGGCUUCUGGUCUCGCCAUAAAACAGCUUUGAGACUUGGUGAGCCUUUGCAUGCCUUAGGAAUUUUUAUAACAAUUGAGGGUCUGCUCGCCUUCGCUUGGUCGAGCAGAUCCUGGCACGCUUGGCUUCUGGUCUCGCCAAAAAACAGGCUUUGAGACUUGGUGAGCCUUUGCAUGCCUUAGGAAUUUUUAUAACAAUUGAGGGUCUGCUCGCCUUCGCUUGGUCGAGCAGAUCCUGGCACGCUUGGCUUCUGGUCUCGCCAAAAAACAGGCUUUGAGACUUGGUGAGCCUUUGCAUGCCUUAGGAAUUUUUAUAACAAUUGAGGGUCUGCUCGCCUUCGCUUGGUCGAGCAGAUCCUGGCACGCUUGGCUUCUGGUCUCGCCAAAAAACAGGCUUUGAGACUUGGUGAGCCUUUGCAUGCCUUAAGAAUUUUUUCGAAUGCUUUGGAGUCUGCUCGCCUUCUCGUGGUCAAGCAGAUCCUGGCACGCUUGGCUUCUGUCUCGCCAUAAAACAGGCUUUGAGACUUGGUGAGCCUUUGCAUGCCUUAGGAAAUUUUUCACAGUUUCAAGCGAAUGAAAUUCCUCGACGUUUCAUUGAUGGCAGGAUUCAACUUACAUGAAAUUGUUUGGACAUAAAACAUAAAAGAUAAACGAUAAUGAACACGAGCAGAAAUAGCUUUCAAAUGUGAACAAGUCUUACUGGAAGUAUUUUGAGCACCUUUCUUUAUUACCAGCUUAUGACAUGCUACCUCAGGGUCAAUCCCUGGCAUGUCUGGAGGUGUCCAAGCAAACACAUCUGCAUGAGCCUGUAAGCAUUUCAUCGCAGGAAUGUUGAUGAAGGCCACCAUAUGCCGAAUCAUGCCUUCUCCAAGGCUCUCUAGCUGGGGAACGAGGAGGUUGCGCCCUGCUGCGCUGAUACUGUAGUGGCCUCUGAUGAGGCUGGUAAGCAGUUACCCGACCUCCUGCUCCACUACCCGAGGCCUGGUGGUCCCCUUGGUAAGGACCUUCCUCAUCCACUACCACAAAGUCCAGUAUCAUUGUCAUUUCUGUCGGGGAGCCCCCAAUCGUGAUAGGCAGCUCGACCACGCCCAGAGGGACCAGCUUUCCUCCUCCAAACCCCUUCAAGGAGGUAUUGGUGUAAUCCAACUUCAGGUCUGCUAUUCUCAUCUCGUCCAGGGUUGACUUAAACAACACAUCAAUUGAACUCCCUGUGUCAACCAGUAUCCUGUCAAACUUCUUGCUAGCAACAGUGGCCUUGAUGACCAAAGCAUCCUCGUGGGGGUAUAGAAUCCCUUCCUCAUCCUCAUCUGUCCACAUGAUUGGCACUUGCCUGACUCUUGCACGUUUGGCUGCUGGGGUGUUGAAGAAUACCUCUUUGCUGGUCAUGGCGUAUCUAGCGUAAUUCUUCCUCGACCUGUUGGAAUCUCCGGCCAAUAUUGGGCCCCCAGCUAUCACCCUUAUUGCAGGCUGCUCGCGCCUCAAGUUCCUGUCACUCUGCUCCCCUUCGCUGGUCGAUCAGGUGCACUGUCCUUUCUCUAUUUGCUCCGUUCUGAGUUGGGGGCGGUGGCAGCGCUUCUGGUCUGCCCCCUCUACUACCGUGGGAGUGUUGAUGAAGACCACCAUACGUCGAGUCAUGCCUUCUCCAAGGCUCCCCAGCUGGGGAACGAGGAGGUUGCGCCCUGCUGUGCUGAUACUGUGGUGGCCUCUGAUGAGGCUGGUAAGCAGUUACCCGACCUCCUGCUCCAUUACCCGAGGCCUGGUGGUCCCUCCUCCUGAUCGGCCGAUUCCCCGGUAAUGCUUUCUUUUCUUUCCUCCCCCACUCUUCUAACUGGUCUGUCUUAAUCCGUGCUGCCUUCUCAUCUUCAAUCUCAAUGUCUCUUUUAGCCUACUCUUCGAUCUUUUAUGGCCUCGUACACCUCAUCCAAGGACAUCUUCAAGGAGGUAUACCGCCCAUAGUCCUGGUUCUGGUCGAUCAGGUGCACUGCUCUUUCUCUGUUUGCUCCGUUCUGAGUUGGGGGCGGUGGCAGUACUUCUGGUCUGCUCCCUCUGCUACCAUGGGAAUGUUGAUGAAGACCACCAUAUGCCGAAUCAUGCCUUCUCCAAGGCUCCCUAGCUGGGGAAUGAGGAGGUUGCGCCCUGCUGCGCUGAUACUGUGGUGGCCUCUGAUGAGGCUGGUAAGCAGUUACCCGACCUCCUGCUCCACUACCCGAGGNNNNNNNNNNNNNNNNNNNNNNNNNNNNNNNNNNNNNNNNNNNNNNNNNNNNNNNNNNNNNNNNNNNNNNNNNNNNNNNNNNNNNNNNNNNNNNNNNNNNNNNNNNNNNNNNNNNNNNNNNNNNNNNNNNNNNNNNNNNNNNNNNNNNNNNNNNNNNNNNNNNNNNNNNNNNNNNNNNNNNNNNNNNNNNNNNNNNNNNNNNNNNNNNNNNNNNNNNNNNNNNNNNNNNNNNNNNNNNNNNNNNNNNNNNNNNNNNNNNNNNNNNNNNNNNNNNNNNNNNNNNNNNNNNNNNNNNNNNNNNNNNNNNNNNNNNNNNNNNNNNNNNNNNNNNNNNNNNNNNNNNNNNNNNNNNNNNNNNNNNNNNNNNNNNNNNNNNNNNNNNNNNNNNNNNNNNNNNNNNNNNNNNNNNNNNNNNNNNNNNNNNNNNNNNNNNNNNNNNNNNNNNNNNNNNNNNNNNNNNNNNNNNNNNNNNNNNNNNNNNNNNNNNNNNNNNNNNNNNNNNNNNNNNNNNNNNNNNNNNNNNNNNNNNNNNNNNNNNNNNNNNNNNNNNNNNNNNNNNNNNNNNNNNNNNNNNNNNNNNNNNNNNNNNNNNNNNNNNNNNNNNNNNNNNNNNNNNNNNNNNNNNNNNNNNNNNNNNNNNNNNNNNNNNNNNNNNNNNNNNNNNNNNNNNNNNNNNNNNNNNNNNNNNNNNNNNNNNNNNNNNNNNNNNNNNNNNNNNNNNNNNNCGGUACAGCAGAAAUUUAAUAAUAAUUCGACCAACAAAUUAAUAUUAAUAAAUUAAUAUUAAUGAAUUAUAAUAAAAAUUUAUUAAAUAUUGAUUUUGUUUCCAAUUUGAAUAAGGAUAAUUUUGGGUUUAGGUAAUAAUUUUAAGGACAUUUAUGUAAUUGUAUUAAAUGAUAAAAUUGAUUCUUAAAAUCAGAAUUUAAAAGCUACUCAUUCUCUACUUUUCAAAAUCAGCUGUAAGAAUGGUUGAUUUUGACAAAAGUGAUUUUGAUUUUUUUUCGAAACAAUAAAAUUAGCUUUUACAUUUUUAAAAUCACUUUUAAACCUCCUAAAAACAAUUUCAAACGAGCCCUUACUAUAAUUGUCUGCUGUACGGCCAAGGCGGAUGUACGGUACAGCAGUUUAUUUUUCUUUUCUUUUCUUUUAAUCAAGAGAUGUAUUUGCAUAAAUUGUUUGAUCAUUAAUGUCAUUUUAUUAAAAUUCUCUCACAAUACCUAAUAGGUACGUAAGAAGGAAAAGUAACUCUGAGUGGUAACAAUUAUUUUCACAAUAUUCUUAUUAUUCUUUAUAGGUUAAACACUAAUUCAAUUUGCUCUCCAUUUAUAUAUAUAUGAGUGGUGUUAGAACCUUUCAUUGUUUUAUUUUCAGUACAAAAUUUUUUGUCAAUUCUACUAAAUGACACUUAUAAUGUUAUUGCCCCAAAAUAAAUUAGCAAAAUAUCCAGACAAAAGAUUAAUCAAAUUUUAAACGGCAAGAAAAACAACCAAAAAUGAUCAACUUAUCAAAAUCUUCACUGCUGUACCGUACAUCCGCCUUGGCCGUACAGCAGACUCUCGUGCACAUCCCUCAAGAGAUAGUGGGAACACCCUGCACCUUUGGGAUUGAGAUAAUCCUUGUACCCCCAUUAUGUCGUUGAAGCGCUCUAUGUGCACCAGCGGAUCAGUUCUUCCCGAGUAUCUAAGGUUUGGGAGGUGGAAAUCUCUCGGAAUAGUUGCCCUCAUGAUCUCUGCUGCGAGCGGUGAUUCUCCGUCCAGCAUUAUCCUCCAACCAGGAGCUCUGCUCCUUCCUUGCAUGUCGUCAAUUAUCUGCGCUAAUCUGCGCACUUCCUCCUCAAGUUGCACUGCACGACCAGGGUCACAUGCUGCAACUUGAUCCCUCUCUUGCUCCACAUCAUGCAAGUGUUGCCUCAACUCUGUUUCCUCUGCAUUCGCUACCCCGUCGUCCUCGUCAAAAAUCUGUCUUACUGGGGACUGCUCUUCCUCUCUAUGAAAGUCUCCCCGCAGAGGUAUGUUACCUCUAUCACCACCAAAUCUCCCGGUGGUUAGACUUCUUCUCGCACUAUCGGGACCUGGUGCCACUCCGCCACCUCUCACUCUUUCCUCCUGGGUUACGCUUCGGUCGCUCCUCAGCUCAUGCAGGAUGGUUGUCAAGGUCUCCAUCUGCUUUUCCAUCCGUUCCAUCCGGUCGAACAUGGCUUUUUCCCGUGCUUCACUGGCAGGAUAUCUACUCGAUCAACCUCACCUCGACCAGGAUCUCUUCUAGUAUGCUUUCAUCUCCAAGUAUUCCUGCGUCCACAGAAACAAGUCAGAGCACGCCGGUUGUUUUCCCGGCGUAAACCCUCCGACGCUCAAGUCAGAUAUGAAGGUUCGGGGUACGCUUGCCACAGAUCUUAUGGCUUUUGGGUAGUUUUCUCUUCUUUAGAAUUUCUUUAAUCUCUGUUCUAAUUUCAAAAUUGCUAACCCUUUUACCUUCGUUGGCAACCUUUUUAUAGGCUUCCUCUGAAUCCCAGUUUUCCGCGGUCUACGCCCGUUAUCCUCCCACCUCUCGAACGUGGAUUCCCCAUUUCCGUAGUCGUGGGUGGUUGCGUGGCCUUCGUGCCUAGAUUCUCGGGCUGGAGAGCAUGCCUCGCCAACUGUCGUUGACCGGGUCUCCUCGAAUCAACCCUUAGCAAGAAUACAACAGGAAUGACUUUAUGCUUCUUACAGGAAAUUGGCCUCGCGGAUGACGUGCUCGUGGAUGAGCAGGAUAUUCCUGCCCCUGUUCCCCUGCUACCUGGCUCUUACAGGACACACCUGCUCGCAGACUUCUGCCACCAAACAUCUGCUCAUCACGUCUGGUCUCGUCGGAGUAUUUCCCUCAAACAAUUCUCAUUGGAUAAUCAACAUAUACUUGUUUUAGAGUCCUCAGGUGGACGACUUUUGAGGUAAAUAAAUCCAGGAUUCCUGAAACUGAACAUUCGUGUUUGAAACUUUCAAUAUCCAAAUUCAGUCAUGCAAUACAACUACACUAUUUUAAAUCAAUUAUAUGGUUUCAGUUUCAGAUUUUGUAUUUCCAGCAUAAAUAAUCAUGCAAGCUUUUGAUUCCCAAAAGACCAUUGUUCGAUUUUUUCUUACCCUUCUACCCCCUCCCCCCGCAUUUUCAAAUCGUCCAUAACUUUUCUGCAAUGUUCAGCCUGUGGAAAGGUAAUUUUAUCAGUGCAAGUGCUUGCAUUGUUCAUUUCUUCAGAUAGCCAUUUGCUGCGUCUAAAAAUUCAUGCUGUGUUCACUGAUGAAGGCAACUAGGAGUCAACGUCUAUUUAGAUCAGGAAAAUGACUUGUGUGGUGUGAAUUUACACAUGAAAUUCAAUUGGCAUAUUUGUCACUUGUCAGGCUCAAUGGACCCCUUUCAAAUUUCACUUUAGAAUAUUUAUUUAUUUUUUAUCUAAAGAUAAGGAUUUAAUUACACAAAAUUCAGCCUCACGAAAGUCAUACAAAAUGCGAUCAGUGAAAUACAUUCAGGAUUAACAAUCGCUUUGAUCAAUCAAAUACAUCCCUUGGUUUAUAAGUUCUGAUAUGGAAAUUUCUUGAACAACAGAUUUUCCCAGCGGUGAUUUCCUUGCGAGAAAUUCUUGAGAUAUGCGUUGCAUUGUAGGUCGAGCCUUGGGUUUUGACUGCAAGCAUGCAAAUGCCACUGUUGAAACAAGAAUAAUAUCAUGAACAACCCUUCGAUCAACUGGAAAUGGGAGACGUUGGUCUAAAACAUCGAUCAACCUAAUCUUCCGACCAGAUGAUGACGAUAAAGAUGAAAGAAGAUCUGUUGGAUGACUUCCCAUUAAUACUUCUAGUGCCACUACGCCAAAGCUAUAAACAUCACAUUUCUCUGUCACAGCCAUGGUGUAGGCAAGUUCUGCAACAAAAUAGAACCCAUUGUAGAAUUUCAUUGCACAAGUAAACAACACAAAAAAAAAAAAAAAAAGAAUAAGCAUUUGAUUAUCUGUUUCUGAAAGCUUCUGCAGCUAGAUAUUUAAGAGAUAUCUGAUUGAUUUUUAAAUACAUUCAAUGUAUAAACACGAGUAAGAAGCAUGAAAAGAAUAGAUAAAGGUUACCUGGAGCAAUAUAUCCAUAUGUUCCCACCACUAGAGUUCUGUUGGAGGAAUCUGGAUGCAGGAGCCUAGCCAAACCAAAAUCAGCAACAAAUGCCUCUAGGUUUGAGUUAAGUAGAAUGUUAUUGCUGGAUAUGUCGCGGUGAACAAUGGAUGGCUUGCAGUCAUAAUGCAGGUAAGACAAAGCAUGAGCCAUGCUCUUUACAAUGUUCACUCUCUUUGUCCAAUCCAACUCAACUGCUUCAACAUCAUUGCGUAACACACAAAACAAGCUUCCCCUCUCCAUGUACUCAUAGAUCAAAAACAUGCACUUGUUGUGCAAAC